rnacentral:lncRNA from 1 species
GAAGUAUUAUUAAUUACACAGAUGCUAAUAUGGUAUUGAGGAAUAGCAUAGAAAGGCAUUGAAAUGCAAUUUCUCACCUGGCUGCUUGUGGUGCUCUGCAGGCGAUGAAAAACUUGGCCAGCUUCAGCAGCAAGGCAGCCAUUAGAAAAUUAACCCUUGGUGAGAUGCAAAGGGGGCUGUGGCCAGAGCAGGGGAUGCUAGAGCGACAGAAUGCUGAAGAUAGUUGUCCCAGCUACGAGAUAAAAGCUACAUUACAUGAAAUUAAUGGAGGCUGUCUGCGACAUACAUGAAUCACUGUUUCAACACUAAGAAACCAGCACAAAAGAAUAAA